ACCAGGCGUGGUGAUGCAUGCCUGUCAUCCCAGCUACUUAGGAGGCUGAGGCAGAAGGAUCACUUGAACCCAGGAGUUCUGGGCCACAGUGCCCUAUGCCAAUUGGAUGUCCACACUAAGUUUGGCAUCAAUAUGAUAACCUCCUGGGAGUGGAGGACCACUGGGUUGCCUAAGGAAGGGUGAACCGGCCCAGGUCAGAAAUGGAGCAGGUCAAAACUCCCAUGCUGAUCAGUAGUAGGAUCACACCUGUGAAUAGCUACUGCACUCUAGUCUGGGCAUCAUAGUGAGACCCUGUCUUGA
ensembl:misc_RNA Metazoa_SRP Metazoan signal recognition particle RNA